UAAUUAUUAUUAUUUUCUUCUCUCUCUACACUCUCUCGUUUCUCUAUUCUUUUUCUUAUACACUACCAAAUCACUGUCGACGACAACACCUUGCCAACAGUGACUACAACAUGAUAGCAAAGUUCGCACAACAUAACAAGACCCAGUCAUUUGUCAUCCAGUUUUCAAAGAUUGCCUUGUGUCUUCGACGCUCAGUUCGCACGACGAUCUGAGUGUUGUAGUGAUGAUCUGAAUGGUGGUGGUUGGAUUUGGAGGUGGCGACAGCGAUUGUGAUGGUGUAGUGGUUGGUUUUUGUGGGUGUAUGUUUUUGUUGAGAUUUGAUAGUCCCGAUCUGUGGAAAUUUGAUCACGAACUGAUGCUAAAAAUUUGGGUUGAGUUUUAUUGGUUGUGUGCAGUUUCACCUACUUCGGCGAGUUGCUAUAAUGAAGAAGCGAAUUUGUAGAUGCGACUGUAAUGAAGAUGCUAAUUUGAAAAUUUGGACGAUAUUUUGGCGACUGGCAUUUGGAUGGUUCUUUGUGUGGUGGUGUGAUUUUUCGGCAUGUUUUGUUGCGUUUUUGAGGUGGUGGUGGUGGGUUUAUGGAUUCUUUGGUGGGAGUGGAGGUUAGGUGUACUGUAAAUGGAGAUAAAGGAAAUGAUGGUGGUAGUAGUGUGCUGUGGGCGGUAUGCUUAUGUUGGUGAGGUAAUGGUGGUUCUAGAGGUAGUGGUGCCCAACUAUUGUUGUGUUGUUGAUGAUGAUGGUGGUGGUGGUUGUUGUGGUGGCGAUGACGGUGACGAGUAGGGUGUCUAUGACCAAAAUUAGGCGUUUGUGACCAACUAUUUGGCUGAUUUGUAACUAAAUAUUAGGUGUCUGUGACUAAAAAAUAAUUUGUAAAUAAUAACUUGUGACUUAU
rnacentral:lncRNA from 1 species